rnacentral:lncRNA from 1 species
UCAGCUCAACUAAACAAAUAAAAUUGAACCCCAACAGUGUGGAUCCAUUACCUAUACUGAACAAAGAGCACAUCCCAAAGCAGUAUCAGUCCUCAACUUUUCUUCUAUGUCUGCAAGUAUCAAAAAUGAAUUAAAUUACCAUAUGUAGAUCAUAGAAGAAAUGAAAAGAUGUAAUGAGGGGAGAAAACACUAACUAGAGUAAUUACAUGUACAGAGUAUAUAAACAACACUGGCAAAUCAGAUGCCCCAUAACCGUUCAAAAUGAUGGAACACAAUUCUUCUGGUUUCUGACCGAGGAGAAAUGGUCAUAAAUUAGUUGUUUGGUGGAUCAUCC